rnacentral:lncRNA from 1 species
AAAGCUUUGCUGACGUCACAGUUGAAUGUGCUGUGAGGAGGUGCCCCGGAUGGAAACGGCAGACCAUGGAAGUGGGAUGUGGAAGGUGGGAGAUGGAUGUGGAAGGGCCCAUCUCCCUCCUUGACUCCUCCCCUCUGUCUCUGCUUCCUGGCCCCCGGAAAUGAGCAACUUUCUUCCUCCCAGACUCUUUCCACUGUGCCGUUUUCCCCUUGGAGCUGACCAACCAUGGACUGAAAGUGUGAGCCAAGAUAAACCUCUCCACCUUUAAAUUGUGGGUGUUGGGUACUGUGCCCCAGUGACAAGAAAGUGACCAAGACACACAUGGUUACACACUGCUAUGUACUAAGAAGGAGAGAUCCGGAUACCAGACAGUGCAGACUCCUGUGCCGGACAGGGAGACUGCAUGAAUUUUUCACCUCCAACUUUGAUCAAGGAAAUGAACCCAAGGCCCUAUAUGCUAGGCAAGUACUCUACGACUGA